AUUGAACGCUGGCGGCAGGCUUAACACAUGCAAGUCGAACGGUAACAGGGAGAAACUUGUUUCUCUGCUGACGAGUGGCGGACGGGUGAGUUAUGCUUGGGAAUCUGCCUUAUGGAGGGGGAUAACCACUGGAAACGGUGGCUAAUACCGCGUAAUAUCUUCGGAUUAAAGUGUGGGACUUUCGAGCCACACGCCAUAAGAUGAGCCCAAGUGAGAUUAGGUUGUUGGUGAGGUAAUGGCUCACCAAGCUUACGAUCUCUAGCUGGUUUGAGAGGAUGACCAGCCACACUGGGACUGAGACACGGCCCAGACUCCUACGGGAGGCAGCAGUGGGGAAUAUUGCACAAUGGGCGCAAGCCUGAUGCAGCCAUGCCGCGUGAAUGAAGAAGGCCUUAGGGUUGUAAAGUUCUUUCAUUAGUGAGAAAGCGGUUAUAUCUAAUAGGUGUAACCAUUGAUGUUAGCUAAAGAAGAAGCACCGGCUAACUCCGUGCCAGCAGCCGCGGUAAUACGGAGGGUGCGAGCGUUAAUCGGAAUGACUGGGCGUAAAGGGCACGCAGGCGGUUAUUUAAGUCAGAUGUGAAAGCCCCGAGCUUAACUUGGGAAUUGCAUUUGAUACUGGGUAACUAGAGUCCUCUAGGGAGGGGUAGAAUUCCAUGUGUAGCGGUGAAAUGCGUAGAGAUGUGGAGGAAUACCGAAGGCGAAGGCAGCCCCUUGGAGAGAGACUGACGCUCAUGUGCGAAAGCGUGGGUAGCAAACAGG
rnacentral:rRNA from 1 species